rnacentral:rRNA from 1 species
AUUGAACGCUGGCGGCAGGCCUAACACAUGCAAGUCGAACGGUAACAGGAAGAAGCUUGCUUCUUUGCUGACGAGUGGCGGGCGGGUGAGUAAUGUCUGGGAAACUUCCUGAUGGAGGGGGAUAACUACUGGAAACGGUAGCUAAUACCGCAUAACGUCGCAAGCCCAAAAAGGGGGGCCUUCUGGCCUCUUGCCAUCGGAUGUGCCCAGAUGGGAUUAGCUAGUAGGUGGGGUAACGGCUCACCUAGGCGACGAUCCCUAGCUGGUCUGAGAGGAUGACCAGCCACACUGGAACUGAGACACGGUCCAGACUCCUACGGGAGGCAGCAGUGGGGAAUAUUGCACAAUGGGCGCAAGCCUGAUGCAGCCAUGCCGCGUGUAUGAAGAAGGCCUUCGGGUUGUAAAGUACUUUCAGCGGGGAGGAAGGGAGUAAAGUUAAUACCUUUGCUCAUUGACGUUACCCGCAGAAGAAGCACCGGCUAACUCCGUG